UAUUAUUGAGAACAGUUACUGCCAAGCAAG
rnacentral:piRNA from 1 species